GUACUGAUGAAGAGUCCAAACUAGGCUGACGAAACAGCUGUCCAGUAC
rnacentral:hammerhead_ribozyme from 1 species